rnacentral:rRNA from 1 species
UAGAGUUUGAUCUUGGCUCAGGAUGAACGGCUAGCUACAAGGCUUAACACAUGCAAGUCGAGGGGGCAGCAUGGUCUUAGCUUGUUAGGGCCGAUGGCGACCGGCGCACGGGUGAGUAACACGUAUCCAACCUGCCGUCUACUCCUGGACAGCCUUCUGAAAGGAAGAUUAAUACAAGAUGGCAUCAUGAGUCCGCAUGUUCACAUGAUUAAAGGUAUUCCGGUAGACGAUGGGGAUGCGUUCCAUUAGAUAGUAGGCGGGGUAACGGCCCACCUAGUCUUCGAUGGAUAGGGGUUCUGAGAGGAAGGUCCCCCACAUUGGAACUGAGACACGGUCCAAACUCCUACGGGAGGCAGCAGUGAGGAAUAUUGGUCAAUGGGCGAGAGCCUGAACCAGCCAAGUAGCGUGAAGGAUGACUGCCCUAUGGGUUGUAAACUUCUUUUAUAAAGGAAUAAAGUCGGGUAUGGAUACCCGUUUGCAUGUACUUUAUGAAUAAGGAUCGGCUAACUCCGUGCCAGCAGCCGCGGUAAUACGGAGGAUCCGAGCGUUAUCCGGAUUUAUUGGGUUUAAAGGGAGCGUAGAUGGAUGUUUAAGUCAGUUGUGAAAGUUUGCGGCUCAACCGUAAAAUUGCAGUUGAUACUGGAUAUCUUGAGUGCAGUUGAGGCAGGCGGAAUUCGUGGUGUAGCGGUGAAAUGCUUAGAUAUCACGAAGAACUCCGAUUGCGAAGGCAGCCUGCUAAGCUGCAACUGACAUUGAGGCUCGAAAGUGUGGGUAUCAAACAGGAUUAGAUACCCUGGUAGUCCACACGGUAAACGAUAAAUGCUCGCUGUUUGCGAUAUACAGCAAGCGGCCAAGCGAAAGCGUUAAGUAUCCCACCUGGG